rnacentral:rRNA from 1 species
UAACACGUGGGCAACCUGCCCCUGGCUCUGGGAUAACUCCAAGAAAUUGGGGCUAAUACCGGAUAUGACUGCUGACCGCAUGGUCUGGUGGUGGAAAGAUUUAUCGGCUGGGGAUGGGCCCGCGGCCUAUCAGCUUGUUGGUGGGGUAGUGGCCUACCAAGGCGACGACGGGUAGCCGGCCUGAGAGGGUGACCGGCCACACUGGGACUGAGACACGGCCCAGACUCCUACGGGAGGCAGCAGUGGGGAAUAUUGCGCAAUGGGCGGAAGCCUGACGCAGCGACGCCGCGUGGGGGAUGACGGCCUUCGGGUUGUAAACCUCUUUCAGCAGGGACGAAGCGGAAGUGACGGUACCUGCAGAAGAAGCACCGGCCAACUACGUGCCAGCAGCCGCGGUAAUACGUAGGGUGCAAGCGUUGUCCGGAAUUAUUGGGCGUAAAGAGCUCGUAGGCGGUCUGUCGCGUCGGCUGUGAAAUCCCGAGGCUCAACCUCGGGUCUGCAGUCGAUACGGGCAAACUGGAGUGUUGCAGGGGAGACUGGAAUUCCUGGUGUAGCGGUGAAAUGCGCAGAUAUCAGGAGGAACACCGGUGGCGAAGGCGGGUCUCUGGGCAACAACUGACGCUGAGGAGCGAAAGCGUGGGGAGCGAACAGGAUUAGAUACCCUGUAGUCCACGCCGUAAACGUUGGGCGCUAGGUGUGGGGCUCAUUC